rnacentral:misc_RNA from 1 species
AACGCAACUUGCACCCUCAAAAGGGGGUAUGUCUGUUUGAGUGCCGCGUUAAAGAAAUUGGUGGUUGUCUAAAGACUAGGGACUCUAUCUAAAAGUAGCCAGUAAUGUCGUGGAUCGGUAGGAUCUAGUGCUAAGCAUUCUUGGUCCGGCCAGAGCUGCGACCGAUAGCUAUUCUAUAUUUGGCCUCAAAUCAGACAGGAUUACCCGCUGAACUUAA